rnacentral:rRNA from 1 species
GCACCGGCUAACUCCGUGCCAGCAGCCGCGGUAAUACGGAGGGUGCGAGCGUUAAUCGGAAUUACUGGGCGUAAAGCGCAUGCAGGUGGUUUGUUAAGUCAGAUGUGAAAGACCCGGGGCGUCAACCUCGGAAUAGCAUUUGAAACUGGCAGACUAGAGUACUGUAGAGGGGGGUAGGAAUUUCAGGUGUAGCGGUGAAAUGCGUAGAGAUCUGAAGGAAUACCGGUGGCGAAGGCGGCCCCCUGGACAGAUACUGACACUCAGAUGCGAAAGCGUGGGGAGCAAACAGGAUUAGAUACCCUGGUAG